AUACUUACCUGGCAGGGGCAAUACCAUGAUCAAGGAGGUGGCUUGCCCAAAAAAAGCGAGGCUCAGCCAUUGCACUUGGGCUGUGCUGACCUGAUAGUGGGGGACUGUGUUCACAAGCUCCCCUUUUUUUUUUGAGGGGGAAGCCUUCAGAGGAUCCAGAUG